GAUGAACGCUGGCGGCGUGCUUAACACAUGCAAGUCGAGCGAAGCGCUUUGGUUAGAUUCUUCGGAUGAAGACCUUUGUGACUGAGCGGCGGACGGGUGAGUAACGCGUGGGUAACCUGCCUCAUACAGGGGGAUAACAGUUAGAAAUGACUGCUAAUACCGCAUAAGACCACAGUACCGCACGGUACAGGGGUAAAAACUCCGGUGUAUGAGAUGGACCCGCGUCUGAUUAGCUGGUUGGUGGGGUAACGGCCUACCAAGGCGACGAUCAGUAGCCGGCCUGAGAGGGCACCGGCCACAUUGGGACUGAGACACGGGCCCAAAUCCUACGGGAGCAGCAGUGGGGAAUAUUGCACAAUGGGCAAAGCCUGAUGCAGCGACGCCGCGCGA
rnacentral:rRNA from 1 species